GAUAGGUUAUUCUCAGAACACGGAGCCAGAAUUGAUGCACAGAUCAGUACUGUCCUUUUUGGAGUGGCUGUCACAUGAAUUCUUUGGAGACCACUGAAGAAAACAGAAAGAAACUGAAAUGGCACAAAUGAAUUAAUCCCGGCAGAUUCUCAUCACCUCCUCAGGAGACCCUUGAUCUGAUUAAGGAGUUCCAUCAGCACUGGAGUAAACACUUUCAACACUUAUCUGAAAAGGUCUCAGAAAACUGAUCCAUCCAAGAUAAUUAUCCCAGAAGAGUGGCAGACUCA